CGUUGCUGGACCCCCAGUGAUGCGCGCCCUUCUAAGCGACCCCAGGUCAGGCGGGGAUACCCGCUGAAUUUAAGCAUAUCAAUAAGCGG
rnacentral:rRNA from 1 species